GGGGAAAAGAAAGAAAAAUAAAAACAAGCGCAAUGCUCGAGAAGAAACGACAGUGGCCGUGAUGCAAUCCAGUAAGGUUUCUGUCUUGACAGACUGGAUAUAGAGUCUAGAUCUAGAUGCCCAGAAAACGUCUCGAAGCACCAAUACUAAUUAGAUCUAGAUAUAGAUCUAGAUCUAAUAAUGGGGGGCGAUUCUCUUCUCGAGCCUAUCGUAUCGCUGGUAGAACUAGAAGGCGACUUACCGGUUCAGUUCAGGUGUGUGUGUAGAUCGUGUGUGGUCAGUGGUGUGUAGGUGUGUCAUUUUCUUUGUCAACAAGACGCGUGGUGACAAGUUAUGCCUUGCCGUGUGGCAGAUUUAGGACUUUAUUUGGCGUUUUUAUUGUUAAAAAAUGAUUUAAAACAAACUUUAGGUUCUAAUAAGCAAGAUGGUGUUGGCGAGAGGCUACUUUCUGAGAUUGUGAUCUAAAUUCCCAGUCUAUCACCAUGAGAUGAGAACUACAAGACGACGGCUGACUGAUUGGGUCUCCUGCUGUGAAAUCGGGAGUACUAGGUGUCCUGAUGGCUCUCAUCGGAAGCUACUGGUACAUGUUUCUUGACUCCACCUUCCCCACCACUGACAAGCACGAUGUUGGCGCCAAAGUCAUCCUGGACCAGAUCUUUGGUGGCUCUUUUUUCUGCACUCUCUACAUUUUCGGUAUGGGUGUCAUGGAAGGGUACUCACUCACAGAAUGCUUCAGGGAGUGGACUGACAAAUUCCCGGCAAUUUAUAAAGCAAGUGACAUCACUGUGCUUGUCCGACGCCUUGCUUCGCUUUGUUACGCUACGAAAUGUUUGCUUUGUUUUAGUAGAGAUUUCACGGCGCUCUCAACUAUUAUUUUAAGUUCAUAUGAGCGCCAAGGGGAGGAUGUCAACAGAGAAGUCUU
rnacentral:misc_RNA from 1 species